ensembl:lncRNA
AAGUCUCUAAGAGUGAUUACAGCUGUGAGUCUUUCUGGGUAAGUCUCUAAGAGUGAUUACAGCUGUGAGUCUUUCUGGGUAAGUCUCUAAGAGCUUUGCACACCUGGAUUGUACAAUAUUUGCCCAUUAUUCUUUAAACAAUUCUUCAAGCUCUGUCAAGUUGAUUGUUGAUCAUUAUUAGAUAACCAUAUUCAAGUCUUUCCAUAGAUCUUCAAGCCGAUUUAAGUCAAAACUGUAACUAGACCACUCAGGAAUAUUCAAUAUCUUCUUGGUAAGUAACUAAAGUGUAGAUUUGGCCUUGUUUUAGGUUAUUGUCCUUCUGAAAGGCGAAUUCAUCUCCUCAUUGUCUAUUGGAACACAGACUGAACCAGACUUUCCUCUAGGAUUUUGGCUGUGCUUAUAGCUGUCUACCGUUUAUUUUUAUCCUAAUAACUCCCUAGUCCUUGCCAAUGACAAGCAUACCCAUAACAUGAUGCAGCCACCGCCAUGCUUGAAAAUAUGAAGUGGUACUGAGUGAUGUGUUGUGUUGGAUUUGCCCCAAACAAAACGCUUUAUUCAGGACAAAAAGUUAAUUUCUUUGCCGAAAUGUUUUCAGUAUUACUUAAGUGCCUUGUUGCAAACAGGAUGCAUGUUUUGGAGUAUUUUUAUUCUGUACAGGCUUUUUUAAAUCUGUCAUUUAGGUUAGUAUUAUGGAGUAACUAUGGAGUAACUACAAUGUUUAUCCAUCCUCAGUUGUUUUCUCCUAUCACAGUCAUUACACUCUGUAACUGUUUUAAGGUCACCAUUGGCUUCAUGGUGAAAAUCCUGAGCGGUUUCCUUCCUCUCCGGCAACUGAGUUAGGAAGGACGUCUGUAUCUUUGUAGCGACUGGGUGUAUUGAUACACCAUCCAAAGCCUAAUUAUAACUUCACCUUGCUCAAAGGGAUAUUACACAUUUUACCCAUCUACCAACCGGUGCCCUUCUUUGCGAGGCAUUGAAAAAUCUCCUUGGUCUUUGUGGUUGAAUAUGUGUUUGAAAUUCACUGCUCGAUUGAGGGACCUUACAAUUAUCUGUAUGUGUUGGGGUACAGAGAUGAGGUAGUCAUUUAAAAAUCAUGUUAACCAAUAUUAUUGAACACGGAAUGAGUCCAUGCAACUUAUUAUGAGAUUUGUUAAGCACACUUUUACUCCUGAACUUAUUUAGGCUUACCAUAAAGGGGUUGAAUACUUAUUGACUCAAGACAUUUCAGCUUAAAAUGUUUUAUUAAUAAAUAAAAAAUUAGACUAACAAAAUUCCACUUUGACAUUAUGGGGUAUUGCGUGUAGAUCAGGUAUUGUGUAUUACAUUGUAAUUCAGACUGUAAACCAUUUAAAAUUCAGACUGUAAACCAUUUUAAAAUCAGACUGUAAACCAUUUUAAAAUCAGACUGUACACCAUUUUAAAAUCAGACUGUACACCAUUUUAAAAUCAGACUGUAAACCAUUUUAAAUUCAGACUGUAAACCAUUUUAAAAUCAGACUGUAAACCAUUUUAAAUUCAGUCUGUAAACCAUUUUAAAUUCAGGCUGUAACAACACAAUGUGGGAGAAGUUAAAAAGGUGUGAAUCCUUUCUGAAGGCCACUGUACAUACAACCGUUGCUAUGGGACCAAGAACAUUGCUACAGUACUGUGUUGUUUAUAGCACACUUAUUUAUACUGUAUCACACUGUAGAUAUAUGCCACUCAGAAAGCAUGCAGGACAUUAUUAAGGUCAUUACGGUAAGAUUAUAAAUUAACCAUAUGAAAUAAAGAUGAGAGGAAUAUUAAAACAGGGAUUUUACCACUGAGGAAGUCACGUGGUCUGUAUGACUAAUUUGGACUAGAUAUAUACCUUAUUCAUCACUGACUCCAUCCAAUCUACGUCCCACAUAAAGUAUUCUAUUGUGGACCCUUCAAUUUCUACCCUACUCAGUGAUAUUCUGAUAUAACAAUGUAAUAUUUAAGUCCGGAACAGACUAUCCUAAGGCUUUGUGAACUUUUGAGCGCUGUGCUUUAAUAUGCAAAAAACAGGUUACUAUACAAUACAUUGUCCUGACUGACACUGCUGUAUCCAUCACUGAUAUCCAUUCACAUCUUAAUAACUGCCAAAUACAUUACACUACAUUUUGUUUGGUCUGGAAAUGACUUUUGUAAAACUGUGUUGUCUGUCACCUUAAAAAAAAAAAAGACUUGAAAAGUGAUUAAAGAUCCAGGGUGAAUGUCGGAUGUGUUGUUGUGGUUAUAGUGAGCUGUUUGUCAAAUGGCAUCCUACUCGUCAUACUGUCUAGUGCACUACUUUUGACCAGGGCCCAUGAGCUCAGGGUCCAUAGGGUUAGGGCCCAUAGAGGUCAGGGCCCAUAGAGGUCAGGGCCCAUAGGGUUAGGGCCCAUAGAGGUCAGGGCCCAUAGGGUUAGGGCCCAUAGAAGUCAGGGCCCAUAGAGGUCAGGGCCCAUAGAGGUCAGGGCCCAUAGAGGUUAGGGCCCAUAGAGGGCAGGGCCCAUAGGGUUAGGGCCCAUAGAGGUCAGGGCCCAUAGGGUUAGGGCCCAUAGAGGUCAGGGCCCAUAGAGGUCAGGGCCCAUAGGGUUAGGGCCCAUAGAGGUCAGGGCCCAUAGAGGUCAGGGCCCAUAGGGUUAGGGCCCAUAGGGUUAGGGCCCAUAGAGGUCAGGGCCCAUAGGGUUAGGGCCCAUAGGGUUAGGGCCCAUAGAGGUCAGGGCCCAUAGAGGUCAGGGCCCAUAGGGUUAGGGCCCAUAGAGCUCAGGGCCCAUAGGGUUAGGGCCCAUAGGGUUCAGGUCAAAAGUAGUGCACUACAUGGGGAAUAAGUAGGGUGCCACCUGGGGGACACAAUUCAUGUUGAAGUAGAUGGUUUCCUUCAGAGCUCUGGUCCUGUAUCUCUCCUUAGCCCGAAAAGCAACUCUGUUUUCUAUUGAAGUUUGUAAAAUAAGCGCUUUGAAAUAAAAUAACAAAUGAUAUCUCAUACUCUAGCCUGCUCUGGAAAUGUUUAAAAAUGCAAUUAUCGAUGAAUGAAAGCUUGCAUUACAUUACCCCAUUGAUUAAAGAUUAUAUUACUGAGAAUAGAUUUUUUCAUGUCAAUUGACUUCUUAACUUCGCAUGUUUCCCAAAUGGCACCCUAUUCUCUACAUAGGGCACUACUUUUGACUAGAGCACUAUGGCCCCUGGUUAAAAGUAGUGCACUUUGGGAAUAGGGUGCCAUUUGGGUUGCUGCCCAUUAAAUAAGCCUUGUGUUUUGAUUGUGUAACUGAAGGUCAGGGCUGUAGUUGAUCCCUGGACUAGUGGGUCUCAUCUUUACAAGCAUUUUGCUACACUCGCAAUAAUCAUUUGCCAACCAUUUAUAUGUGAC